rnacentral:rRNA from 1 species
UACGGGGGGGGCAAGCGUUGUCCGGAUUUAUUGGGCGUAAAGAGCUCGUAGGCUGUUCGAUAAGUCGGGUGUGAAACCUCCAGGCUCAACCUGGAGACGCCACCCGAUACUGUCAUGACUAGAGUCCGGUAGGGGAGCGUGGAAUUCCUGGUGUAGCGGUGAAAUGCGCAGAUAUCAGGAGGAACACCAGCGGCGAAGGCGGCGCUCUGGGCCGGUACUGACGCUGAGGAGCGAAAGCGUGGGUAGCAAACAGG